rnacentral:rRNA from 1 species
UAGGGAAUCUUCCACAAUGGACGAAAGUCUGAUGGAGCAACGCCGCGUGAGUGAAGAAGGGUUUCGGCUCGUAAAACUCUGUUGUUAAAGAAGAACAUAUCCGAGAGUAACUGUUCAGGUAUUGACGGUAUUUAACCAGAAAGCCACGGCUAACUACGUGCAAG